rnacentral:rRNA from 1 species
AGCGAACGCUGGCGGCAGGCCUAACACAUGCAAGUCGAACGAAGUCUUCGGACUUAGUGGCGGACGGGUGAGCAACACGUGGGAACGUACCUUUUGGUUCGGAACAACUCAGGGAAACUUGAGCUAAUACCGGAUGAGCCCUUAGGGGGGAAAGAUUUAUCGCCGAAAGAGCGGCCCGCGUUAGAUUAGCUAGUUGGUGAGGUAAAGGCUCACCAAGGCUACGAUCUAUAGCUGGUCUGAGAGGAUGAUCAGCCACACUGGGACUGAGACACGGCCCAGACUCCUACGGGAGGCAGCAGUGGGGAAUCUUGCGCAAUGGGCGAAAGCCUGACGCAGCCAUGCCGCGUGAAUGAUGAAGGUCUUAGGAUUGUAAAAUUCUUUUACCAGGGACGAUAAUGACGGUACCUGGAGAAAAAGCCCCGGCUAACUUCGUGCCAGCAGCCGCCGUAACAC